AGUGAACGCUGGCGGUAGGCCUAACACAUGCAAGUCGAACGGCAGCACAGUAAGAGCUUGCUCUUACGGGUGGCGAGUGGCGGACGGGUGAGGAAUACAUCGGAAUCUACUCUUUCGUGGGGGAUAACGUAGGGAAACUUAUGCUAAUACCGCAUACGACCUACGGGUGAAAGCAGGGGAUCUUCGGACCUUGCGCGAUUGAAUGAGCCGAUGUCGGAUUAGCUAGUUGGCGGGGUAAAGGCCCACCAAGGCGACGAUCCGUAGCUGGUCUGAGAGGAUGAUCAGCCACACUGGAACUGAGCCACGGUCCAGACUCCUACGGGAGGCAGCAGUGGGGAAUAUUGGACAAUGGGCGCAAGCCUGAUCCAGCCAUACCGCGUGGGUGAAGAAGGCCUUCGGGUUGUAAAGCCCUUUUGUUGGGAAAGAAAAGCAGCAGGUUAAUACCCCGCUGUUCUGACGGUACCCAAAGAAUAAGCACCGGCUAACUUCGUG
rnacentral:rRNA from 1 species